ACGCUCGACACCUACGGGAGGCAGCAGUGGGGAAUAUUGCACAAUGGGGGAAACCCUGAUGCAGCGACGCCGCGUGAGCGAAGAAGUAUUUCGGUAUGUAAAGCUCUAUCAGCAGGAAAGAAGAAAGACGGUACCUGACUAAGAAGCCCCGGCUAACUACGUGCCAACAGCCGCGGUAAUCUGAGCGGGCUGGCAAGGC
rnacentral:rRNA from 1 species